AGUUAAUGAACUUGUAAAAGUGUAUAUUUUGAAAAUAUAAAAAAAAGAAAAUUCUUUAUUAACUU
rnacentral:tRNA from 1 species